UACGUAGGGUGCAAGCGUUAAUCGGAAUUACUGGGCGUAAAGCGUGCGCAGGCGGUUGUGCAAGACAGAUGUGAAAUCCCCGGGCUCAACCUGGGAACUGCAUUUGUGACUGCACGGCUAGAGUGUGUCAGAGGGGGGGUAGAAUUCCACGUGUAGCAGUGAAAUGCGUAGAGAUGUGGAGGAACACCGAUGGCGAAGGCAGCCCCCCUGGGAUGAGACUGACGCUCAUGUACGAAAGCGUGGGGGAGCAAACAGG
rnacentral:rRNA from 1 species